UUCAACAAAACACACAAAAUUAUCAAAUAAACAAAAUUUUCACACUUGCCUGUUUUCUUUUAAUAGUGUCAAUAAAUGGCACAAAGAAAUGUGUAAUAUUCUUGAAUGGUGUUGUAACUAUAAUGAUGAUGAGUGUAUUUGCAGAUCUAUAUAAAGGUAAAGGUAAGUACAGCACCAAACUUUGAAUGGAAACACAAACUA
rnacentral:lncRNA from 1 species